GCUCUGCUGGGGCGGGCGGGACCGGGGUCGCUCCCCCCGCGUUGGGGGUGCUGCGGCGUUGCCGCUGGUGAAGCGGCGUACCGAGGACCGCGGGCAGGAGGAGGGUCGCUGCGCAGAGAGCUAUGUCCCCAAAGUUGUCACCAUCAUCAACAGCUACUUGCCAGCAGAGCGACUGAAGGCUGUGGAAGAACUCAUUUCCCGUUCUUGCCAGAGGCCAGGCGCCCAAAUGGGGUCUCUGAACAAAAUGAAUUUCAUUACAAGGCUUUCUGCUUUAUGUCUGAGGAAAAGCAAGAUGCAGCAGAGACACCAAAGUAGUAGACGACCAGCUGUUCCACUUGGAUCACGGAUUUUAACUGAUCCUUCUAAGGUUUUUGAGCAUAACAUGUGGGACCACGUGCAGUGGUCACAAGAAGAAGAGGAGAAUGCCAAGGAAAAAGCAGCAGAGAACUCACUUGUGAAAGUCCAAUGGGAAGACCAAGAUAAAUAUGAGAGAGAAGCCAGUAAAUAUUGGAAUGAAUUUUACAAGACUCAUAAAAAUAACUUUUUCAAGGAUCGCAAUUGGCUGUUUCUGGAGUUCCCAGAAAUUCUUCCAGAAAAAAGGCGAGAAGAGUUGAAAACAGAACAAAGAUCUUCAGAACACACAAAAAUAAACAGUACCAACAGUUUUUCACACAAAAAUGAAAUGUCUGAGGAAGGAGAAAAAUAUUGGAAGAAAAAUUAUGGAGGUGGUUCUACUUCUGUACAAGGAUAUGUAUAUAAUAGAAAACAAGCAAAAUCUCUUACUGACAAUCCUCAGGGUAAAAACCGUGGAGAAGAACUUGGCAGGCUAGAAUCCUUCCCUGGUAGUGAUGCCACUUACAGAAUAUUAGAGGUUGGUUGUGGUGCUGGAAACAGUGUCUUUCCUAUUUUGAAAGUUCUAUGCAAUACACCUGGAACCUUUCUAUACUGUUGUGAUUUUGCUUCAGGAGCAGUGGAGCUGGUAAAGUCACAUUCAUCCUACAAUUCAGCCUGGUGUUCUGCCUUUGUUCAUGAUGUGUGUGAUGAUGCUUUACCCUAUCCUUUUCCAGAUGAGAUCCUGGAUGUCAUUCUCCUUGUCUUUGUGCUCUCUACUAUUCAUCCUGACAGGAUGCAAGGGGUUGUAAAUAGGUUGGCUAAACUACUGAAACCUGGAGGAAUGUUGUUAUUUCGAGACUAUGGAAGAUACGAUACAGCUCAACUUCGUUUUAAAAAAGGUCAUUGCCUGUCAGAAAAUUUUUAUGUACGAGGAGAUGGAACCAGAGUAUAUUUCUUUACCAAAGAUGAGGUAUGGAACAUGUUCAACUUGGCUGGAUUAACUGAAGUACAGAAUUUAGUUGAUCGGCGAUUACAAGUAAACAGGAAGAAAAAAGUGAAAAUGCAACGAGUUUGGAUACAAAGCAAGUUCCAAAAACCAUUGCUGCUAUCUCUGAAUAAUCCUGAAGAAACCACUGAAAGGCACCCUUAUAGAUAAUUGUACCAUGAACUCCAGAAACUGAAGCAAAUUUGAGUAUGUAUAUUUCCUGUAAAUCUUGUGUUAGCCACUGAAAAGGAGAAAUAUAUUGAACUGAAAACGUUUCCCUGAUUUUUUUGUAAAUGUAUGUGUGUGAAAAUGAUCGGGGCGGGGGGGGGCAGGGGGGGGAGGCGGGAGGGAGUGCAUUUCUGACUUCUGCUUUAUAUGCAAUAAAGGGGUAUGCAUUAAUCUAUUCAUAACUGUGACCAGGCACUAUUUUACUUCCUUGAAUAUGAAUAGUCACUAAGUAUAAACAUGUAUCUUGUUCCUGCUGAAAUUCACAAUAUGUAAAAUGUUUUAGACUGAAGCACAAUUGUUUCAGAGAUUUGGAGAAACAGAAUAUCUGUUCUCACUAUCCCUACAGGCUGUGCUGUGUUAAUUUCUGUGUCAUGUCUCUUUUGAGCACUGUGUGUCUUGCAACUAUAUUUCCUCUUUGGGGGGAAAUUCUUUGGUGCAUAAAUAAUGAAGACAAAAUCUUUCUGAUUUGCAUGUAAGUUAUCAUUACAUACUAACUGCACGUGAUAUGCAUAGGUAUCAGAUUAGUCAGUGAUUGGCAUCCUCCACUGUGACUUACUCCUCUGAAGUCUCCACUUGCUAUCUACAUGCUCAUCAGAAACAUGCCAAACUCGUUUCUGUAACAGCUUAGUGACACAUACAUUAUAUUUACAGUGCUGUAGGUUGUAAACUGAACACCAUGUAGAAAAGAAUUACCAAAAUGCCAAAACAGUGCUGAAACCAAAUAGUUAACAUUUGCCUGGAUAAAUACAAGCACUAUUUUUAUGAUAUGUCAGAUACGCUAGAGGGAGGAGCAAAAAGAGUAGUCCAGAGUACAUUUUAUUAAUAUUGUUAUGUGGUAAUGUAAUCACACUAAAAUGGCAAUCUACAUAGCAGCUGAGAUAUUUUUGUUGUUAACAGAGAGAGGUUGCUUUCUUAGGACUUGAGUCUUAGAAAAAAAGACACAAUGUUUUUGUAUUGACCCAGUGGAGAGACAGUAAAAGGACAGGACUACACUACUAUGUCAAGUGCUUUUAAGAAGAAAACCAAAAUGCAAACACUGUUUUCAGAUGCAGACCAUGAUACUGAGGCUGUUGAGAAUUUAAAGUGUUUGAAGAUGCCUCAUCUGCUAUUUAAAUGUAAUUUUACAAUCACUUAGCCACAAGGAGGAGAGGACAAGAAACAGCAAAACCAAGGCAGGUGGUUGUGCCAUAUCUACAAAUCCACUGAAUCUGAAGACGACAACCAAAAUGCAGGGCAGACGGGGAGACAGCAGGAACUCUAGUGACACUAGGGAAAAGUUUCUUGUUUUGUCCUUUUGCUUGUCUGUUGCUUGUGACUUGGCUAAUCUGCAGAUUCUGAUGUUUAAUAAUGACUAAAAAUUUGUAACAAACCAUCCUGAAAUUUGUAUUAAACACUAGUGGAAAUCACUUAACACAAAUUUUGCUACUUCAUUUUGAUUUAUGGUGUGAUCUUUAUUCAGUGCUCUGGUGUGCUCUUUGAUCUGUUGACAUAUGCCUCAUUUCCCCUUUUUCAUGGGCAUAGUAGAUAAUUAAGCACUUUCCACAGGAGCUAUAUAUACAAACAUUUGCAGUAAAGUUUGCUGGCUGGGUGUUAUGGUUUAAGAAGAAAAUUAAGAAGAAAAUUAACUCUAUCCCAGCCAAAACCAGCACACUGGGUUAUUUCUAGGAUCGAAGCAAGAGAGUUUUAUUUCCUUCUGUACAGAACAGAUUGCUUUUUCUUUUUGUGUGAAUGCAAUGAAUUGUAUAGAUGCUAAAUUAA